AAUUUCUUCCUUAAUUUUUCUCUUCUCCUCAUUUAAUUCAACUUCUCCGAUUUUCUCUUUUGUUUCUUUUUCCCCUUCUUCUCACACUCUCUUUUUUUAGAUCUUUCUUUCAGAUUUGUCUUUCUUCCUGGAAAAUACAACUCUUUUACACGACAUCUUUGCUGACACAGUCCUCCACUUCCAUUAACACUACCGUUUGUUCUCGACCAUCGCCGCCGGCGGAGUUUCUUCUACAACCACCGCCGUCGCAGUUUCUUCCGCAACCACUGCCGUCAGUGUCUCUACAACCACCGCCGUCGCAGUUUCUUUCAGGACCACCGCCGUCGCAGUUUCUUUCAGGACCACCGCCAUCGCAGUUUCUUCCACGCCGUCGCCGUUCCUUCCACGCCGUCGCCGUUCCUUCCAUUACCACUUCAACCAUAGAUCUUUCCACAGCGUAGAAAUUAGUUUUAUUAUACUCCCU
rnacentral:lncRNA from 1 species